rnacentral:rRNA from 1 species
CGGGUGAGUCCCAUUGUGGGCAAUCUGCCCUGCACUCUGGGACAAGCCCUGGAAACGGGGUCUAAUACCGGAUACUGACCGUCACGGGCAUCCGUGAGGGUCGAAAGCUCCGGCGGUGCAGGAUGAGCCCGCGGCCUAUCAGCUUGUUGGUGAGGUAACGGCUCACCAAGGCGACGACGGGUAGCCGGCCUGAGAGGGCGACCGGCCACACUGGGACUGAGACACGGCCCAGACUCCUACGGGAGGCAGCAGUGGGGAAUAUUGCACAAUGGGCGAAAGCCUGAUGCAGCGACGCCGCGUGAGGGAUGACGGCCUUCGGGUUGUAAACCUCUUUCAGCAGGGAAGAAGCGAAAGUGACGGUACCUGCAGAAGAAGCGCCGGCUAACUACGUGCCAGCAGCCGCGGUAAUACGUAGGGCGCGAGCGUUGUCCGGAAUUAUUGGGCGUAAAGAGCUCGUAGGCGGCUUGUCACGUCGGUUGUGAAAGCCCGGGGCUUAACCCCGGGUCUGCAGUCGAUACGGGCAGGCUAGAGUUCGGUAGGGGAGAUCGGAAUUCCUGGUGUAGCGGUGAAAUGCGCAGAUAUCAGGAGGAACACCGGUGGCGAAGGCGGAUCUCUGGGCCGAUACUGACGCUGAGGAGCGAAAGCGUGGGGAGCGAACAGGAUUAGAUACCCUGGUAGUCCACGCCGUAAACGGUGGGCACUAGGUGUGGGCGACAUUCCACGUCGUCCGUGCCGCAGCUAACGCAUUAAGUGCCACGCCUGGGGAGUACGGCCGCAAGGCUAAAAACUCAAGGAAUUGACGGGGGGCCCUGCA